AAUGGCGGUUUAUUUAAGCUCACUCUCGGUGCACUGCUGCCACCUGCUGCUUUUGAAAAGCGCAGUCGCAAACAACUUUAACACAGGUGCCGUUUCUUAGCAUUUUAGAGAUUAGCACACCUGCCAAAAAAAAAAAAAAUAAAUAGCCCACUCACGCAGCUUUUUUUCUCGGCUAAGUGGAUGAAUAUUUCACCCGACUCCAUUAGCUUUAGCUGGUCUUUUUUUUUUUUUUUUUUUAGCUUCAUCUGUUAGCAACAACUGCACCUGAAGGCUGAUUAUUUCCUGUCAUACCUGUUGGCAGCUCGGGACCACAACUCUAACCAAAGGAUAAACUAUUUCCCAAGGAAUGUUUUCACUAUGCUAAGAUGUCUGGAUCACUGCUUCAUUUCACCAGUCUAAGGUGCUGAUUUAUUGUUCAGGAAGACAGUUUUCCCCCAGGGGGGACCGGGUCAGCCGCUGUGCCAAGCCUGAGAGUAUGAAAAUGCAGGUGACAGGAUGCUGAUGAGGAGGCCCGAAGCGUUACCUCCAACCGCCGUGCCCUGGAGUGCUCCACUCUGCCAGCCGCUGCCCUGUUGGAGUAGAGGGCUGCAGUGAGCCCCCUACCUGCUCAGGAGCUCCUGCCGUGGAUUCCCCACUGACAGAGCCGGUCGACUCCCCCUGCGUUACCUACUGGAGCCUGUCUUCUCGCGUCAGCUCAGAGCUAUGCAGCUCAGCUUGAAGGCUUCACCCCUGGAUUCCCAAUAAGAGGAAGGAUGUGUGUGUACGUCUGUCAGGCAGUAAACAAUACGUCAGGUGGUGUUGAGUCUGGACGCUGUCAGUCUGGGGUUGAUGUGAUGGCAAAGACCAUGACUGAACUGCUGUUUUGUUAUCAUUGAAAACAAUGUGUUAGAUGUUGUCAUAUUUGGAUACUGAAAACAUCUAUUACACAUCAAGAUGAUUUGUUCUUUAUGUUGUUGCUCAGACAGACAAGAAUAAUUUCACCCAAUAAAAUAUGGUAAUUUCAGUAUUUAAAUAAUUAAUUCACAAACAAAACUCAACAUAACUUCUCUUGCUUCCUAAAUAUCUUUUCUAUGUAACCAGCCGUAUAACCUGCAAUUAUUGUCUGUCAUUUGCCCUGGAAUCCCUUUAUGAAUCAAAUCAAGUCAGUGAUUUGAGCUGUCUGGAGCUCUCUGAUUGCCAACACUUAAUAAAACACUUCAAAAUAAUGGUGACUCCCUCAAUGAAGCAACAGGGGAGGGAAAGACAGAAACAAAGAAAAAAGAAAACCCACCAGGAGUGAACCAGCAACAAAUGAACUUUUAAAACGAACAGUAAUUAGUUCUGCUGAACUAGACUCCCCGUGGCCUCGACGGGGCCAGCCGCACACAUCGAUUCUGUCAGA